UUCUUUCCGGAGGCCAUUGAGUUCAUUGUGAGGCCUUGUCCCAGAACUGCGGGGUGCUCGUCCACUGCUUGGCGGGGGUCAGCCGUUCUGUCACCGUCACUGUGGCCUACCUCAUGCAGAAGCUCCACCUCUCUCUCAACGAUGCCUAUGACCUGGUCAAGAGGAAGAAGUCUAACAUCUCCCCCAACUUCAACUUCAUGGGG
rnacentral:lncRNA from 1 species